UUUCUAGAUUGGCUUACCUUCCUCGCUCGAUUUUGCUUCUUGACCUCGUGGCUUUGGCGAUUUUUGGCGUUUAAUUUACUCAUUUUUCAACGCUUUUCAAGGUGGUGGAAGUCGUACUUGCCAUGAGCUGUUAAACAGUUUGGAAAAGGACAUUUUUCCAUGGCAUGCCCACAAGGACGAGGUGGGAGUCGAGCAUGUAGGUGUUGU